GCUCAUCUGCCAUCGCAGGCCUAGAACUGUAGGCAUGCAGCAGUGAGUUCCGGCCUUCGGUGUGCGAGGGUUAAAGGGCAUGGAAGAGUGAACCUGUGAGGAAAAGGAAUUCAGUUUCCAUAAUGUUACCACAUUGUUUUUUGAAAGUACUCAGGGAAGGAGGCCCUUAGAGCUGGGGCUGCAGAACGGACUUCAGAGGCCUAGAAGCAGGAGAGGUGCAAGAUCCAUCAGAACAAGAGAGGGGUAACACAGCAGGUGGGUUAAGUCCAGCAGUGUGAAUUGUUAGGAGCUGUCUUCCUGUCGAUUUCUUGAAAGAGACACCAUGUGGUCAGGUGAGAGGUUAGCAAUGCAGUCACCAUCUCAGUGUUAAGCACCUCUAUUAGUUCUCUAGAGUAACUGAACAUAUAGAAUGAAUCUAUGUGCAUAGAAAGGGGGCUUAUUAGAAUGACUUACAGCAACAAUGGCUGACUAUGGACAGAAAUUCCAAGGGUGCAGUAAUUGCUCAGUCCAGCUGGAUGUUUCAGUUGGUCUUCAAGAUAUCCUGGAAUUCAAGGGGUUGGGGAUUUGGCUCAGUGGUAGAGCGCUUGCCUAGCAAGCACGAGGCCCUGGGUUCGGUCCCCAGCUCCGGAAAAAAAAAAAAAAAAGAUAUCCUGGAAUUCUAAAGGAGUAGGUGUUGUUUCCCUAAUUGGUUCUUGAUUGUGUCAAUAAAAAGGCAGAAGCUAAUUGCUGGGCAAAAGGAAAAA